UACAGAGGGUGCGAGCGUUAAUCGGAAUUACUGGGCGUAAAGCGCACGUAGGCGGCUUGGUAUGUCGGGUGUGAAAUCCCCGGGCUCAACCUGGGAACUGCAUCCGAAACUGCCUUGCUCGAGUAUGGGAGAGGGAAGUGGAAUUUCCGGUGUAGCGGUGAAAUGCGUAGAUAUCGGAAGGAACAUCAGUGGCGAAGGCGGCGACCUGGACAGUAACUGACACUCAACUGCGAAAGCGUGGGGAGCAAACAGG
rnacentral:rRNA from 1 species